rnacentral:tRNA from 1 species
GCCUGGGUGGCUCAGUCAGUUAAGCAUCUGACUUUGGCUCAGGUCAUGAUCUCAUGGUUUGUGAGUUCGAGCCCCACAUCAGGCU